AAAGAGAACAGCUCAAGGAGGAGCCACUAAAAAUGACAAAGAAAGCCUGCCUGUGUGUAUAUGCUGACCUUCAUUCUGCGCUCAUUUAGGACAGAGUAAAUCAGGAGAAGGAAUGAAUUGCAGUGAAUGAAGCUGGAAUUAAAUAAAAACCUGAGCAGCACCUUGCGGGCCAAGUUGAACUAUGACCAUGAAAUUACACAGCUCUUUAAAGUCCCUGUUGGAUGCUCUAGAGCAAACUCAUUUUCACCAGAGGCCACAUCAGCCUCGCAGUUGCCUUCAAAGGGCCAAAUGUAAUUUUAGGGCUGUAUAAAUAUAACUACGCCUAUGAGUUUGACAGCCCUGGUCUAGAGAGUGGCGACAGAAAUGAGACAACAACUGGCAUAUCCAGCCUGUGCAGUGGGAACCCCCUUCCAGUAGUUUUCCAGGAGCUGGAAGGUGCACUCGGACAGUAGGGCAGGGCCGGGGCCAUCUGUGAUCACAUCAGAUAUGCAUGGCCAGUUCUCUGACAGUCCGAGGUGAACGCGCUGUUCACAUCUGCGGGGCUAGAUGAGGUAAGGGGAAGCACAUCAUGAAGAUUUUAUAGGAUUCCUACUUGGAUUUAUCUGCAAAUCAGGUUGGUUCCACGUUAAAACAUUCUUUUUAGAAGGACAAACCCAUUUUCAAGGGGAAAGAGGUAGACUAUGGUAAGAGCUGUCAGGGGACAAUGACACCAGCUGCUGGGAGGUCAGGGCUUUGCUGUUGCCUAGUUCUGUGUGUGAGAAACCACCCAGGUCCCACAUGUUGAUGUCUUGUACCCUUCCCCUUCCCUGCAUCCCCACCAUACAGAAAGAAAGAGCAACCCCAGCCCAUGAGGCAGAAAACAGUGCCUGGUGCUUACCUGGGAAGAGAGGUCACCCCAGAAGCACAGGGAAUUAAGCUCUCAGACUCCAGAACUAUUAUUCCAAGCCUACUUCUAAGGGAAAUCAGAUUCAGUCUGCAUUGGAGAAGUCCAUCCAUCCAUCUCCAAGCCCCACUGGUUUGACUGGAGAACAACUGAGGUGCGACGCACACAUGAAAAUACAAGUGCUCAGCGGCACAUGUGAAAUAAGCGUGGUGGUUUUCUGCGGGCAAGCGUUGAGCCUGGCUCUCUAAAUCUGCUGCUUUGCCAGGUUAACUGGAAGAACUGAGAAAUUAGGAUUUGCUAGAGACUGGCAAUGGCUCCUUCCCUGCCAGGCUGUGAACUCCCUGUGGAAGGGCCACCAUGCUGCCUGUUCACACCAUGGAGUUCAGAUCACGGAGGAGCUAUUUAUGACUGUAAAGGCAAGGCUGAUAACCAAGAAUAAUGGUCAAAAUAACAUGGUAUGGUGGAAAAUUAUUUGUUCCUGCUGAGGCCUGGGACUGCAUCUGACUUGUGAGUGAAGAGGGGGUGUUUUUUGCCUGCAGAAAGAUGCGUUGCCUUCGGUGCAAUGCAUGCUUGAUUCCCUCCCUGCUCGUUAGCAGCGCUCGUUACUGUCUUCCCAGCAGGUUUUUCCCAAAUGCCUUGCUGUUUCCCAGGACCUCAGUGCCACCGAGCGAGAUUAACCCCAAGCUUUGGUCUGAUGAUCAUGUUGAAUGGAAAUGAAACGUUGGAAACUGAGGAGUCCAUUGAAUUCCUCCUCAAAACCAGGUUUUCCAGCUGCUGUGAAAAGGAGCCUUUCUAGAAGAUAUUUUAAUUUUGCACCCGGUUAUUUCAUUCUGGAGCUGGAAUGCCAUAGAAAUAGUUUUGCCCUGGCCUUAUGCUGGUGAGACCUCCAUCUGCUGGUGGCCAGGCACCAGUGCACAAUGUGUUUGCAGCCGGAGCCCCCAAAUUUUACCAAACCAGGAAGGGCUUGGGCAGAUAUGUAGGGAACUACACUGAUGUACUACAGGCUUUCUUCAGAAACCAACAUCUGGGGAGCUAUUCACAGAGAUUGCUGGGGGUUCUCCCUCUCUGAUUUCUAAGCACUGCAUCAGACAUCACCCUCCCUCCAGGAUUUCUGCAGGCCCCAGUGUAUCCUGAUGCUCAGUGCUUUGCUUUAAAUGUUAUGGCAUAUAUAAUGUGCCAGCUGAGAGGGACCUUGCAAAGACCCAGCUCAUCCCCUUCUUGAGCAGAUGUGUGUGCAGCUUAUUCUGACAGUUUCCCCAACAUGGACACCUUAUGAUCUUGCCAAGAAAUCUCUAUCAGCUCUACAAGCCCUAAAAAAAAUUCCCACCACCUUAUCUGAACCAUCCUGGUCAUAACUGAGACCCACGACAUUUUGCCCUGAAAGACAUGCAAGGCACCUGGCUCCGUCACAUUUUUGUAUUAACCAGGAAAGGUUAAUUCUGCUAAUAGCACCAAGCUGGAAUACUUGCUUUCUCAGGCAGUACAUUGACUUUCCACCAUCUCCUAUAGUCCUUUUCACCUGCAGAAUGUGAGUUUUCAAAUAUUAUUCCAUUAAAACACUAGUGUUUAUGCCCACUUUGCACUGAUACACAACAGCAGCAGAGAAUCACACUGGGGUGGACUUUUCACCAUUAAGUACUGGAGUAAAUACUUGCAGACUCAGUAUAUAACAGAAGCAGGUUGGAUAAAAGGUAGAAUUUACAUUCAAUACCUCUGGAGAGGUAACUGGAGAAUUAAAAGUACCUAUAAUAAAACUAGAUGCUUGGUGGAUCUUUUAAAUAUGUGGCCAGAUUUUGCCACUUGUUCAUAUAAAGUAGCACUGAUGCCUUGAGGAAUCUCCUUGGUCUUAGGGGGACAGGGCAGGGAACAAGCAGCCAAUUCAAAAGCCACUUCACACCCUGGGAAAUCCCACUGACUUGGUGGGUAUGACAGUGUAUGUUGCCUAAAAUUAUGCAGGUUCAUAUGCCUUGUCAGGGAAAAAAGUACUAAGGUUUAGGAUAGUGCAGUUAGCAUCUGGUCCUGAGUAGUUAAUACUGUAACCUGGCUAAUUGCAUAGCUUGGUGAUCUUCCCAUUCCCAAACAAAAUGGUAAUCACUUCCCAGAGAUCUUUCUGCAAUUAUCUCCUGAUCUUCUGGGAAAUCUUCCUAGAGAUCAAGAAUUAAAAGCUGAGCUCUCACUUCGCAUUGUGAAAUGCUGGCCUCCGUCAAAAUAGAGUUCAAGAAAUCAUUCAUUUAACUUUCUUGCUGCCACAAUAAAUAAAAAAAAAUUAAAAAAAAAAAAAAAAGAAA